rnacentral:telomerase_RNA from 1 species
AACGCUCAACUCGCACGACGCCUCCCCCACAGUUUCCCGUCUCUCGUUUUCCGAAAGGAAUGUCUAUCGCAGACCCCCUUCAAAGCUUGUUGGCCACGAUAUGCCGCUCCCGAGCCUGUAUCAGGACCUCGUUGCUUGCUGCAGCUGGACCAAUCGUGGACCUUGGCUGUCGGUGACCCGACGGUACAGCUCAACCGGGGGAAUGAGUUUCGGAACUUAACCCUAAGUUCAUUGCUGGUUCAAGUUUGCGCCAUGUCGCUCAAACCGGCUUUUAUGUCUGACGAGCCAACCGCGACGCUGUCUGCUUGAAAAAGCACGGCGGCUGAUCGGAGGUUUUGAGGACGGACCGCUGGGGCGAGCUGUCCAGACACCCUCGUGGUGAGCAAAGGGGUUGGAGCCAUGAGCCGACUCUGGCCUGAGGACGCUCGUCAGCCCUACCCGCUGGAACCCGGACGCUGGUCAACAGGAGGCCACCUCUGGAUGCGAGCGGCUUUGACUGAGCCUGUCGGCUGAGGGAUGUACAACCAACGACCUACCGGUCUCGAUAUGAGAUGACGGAGAGAGAUGGGCGCAGAAACGGCAUCAAACAGUCAGCGAAUGGGGUUUCUCCUCGAUCCACAGCUUUGCCUCGUCGGAACCACUCCAGCGCUAUGCUGCUGGUUGUGCAGCGAGGAUUGCCUGGCUACCAACGGAAACCCCGGGUGACCUGACACUCAUCUCGCCGCGCUGUGGAGCCCUCUGCACUCUCGAUGUCGUCGAACUUCGACUGUGUCGUCCAUCAGAUCAGCACGCUCGGUGUGUCCGCCGCAACGCACCAGAGGCCACACCAAGGCACCAGCUACCGGUGUGUGAUGCGCUAGCAUCUGGCCCGACCAGGCGCAUUAACCUCUCGCCGCCGACACAUUGCCGCGGUGCCGGAGAACGCCAAUUUCCCUCGACGCUCGUCCGGAAGGGUGGCAUCGAGAUGACAGCGCGGUUUUUGUGGAUGUCUUUUGUCCGCGCGGCAAUGCCCUCCUAACCCCCUCUUCCGAGAGGUUGAUGGAGAGGAUACAAAAACAAGUCCUUGUUGGCAGUGCAUCACAUACGAAAGGAGCGUUCUGGUACCGGUGAAUCGGGCUCGCUUGCUGCUUGUACGGGAAAAGAUAGCGACCUUGUGUUGCAUUGCGUCUUGUCGGCACGAUGUCUGCGGACAACGCUGGAGACAGGCCGGGACCCCUCUCGAGUGGGCGUCAAAGUUUCGUACUUGUCCGGCGGUUGAAGGUGGCGUCCAGCUACAACGUGUCCGGAAUUUCGCUCUAAGCUGCACCAGCGACGCCAUAUUGGUUUUCAAGGGCAGGCCCAAUUGGAACGGGCAGCCCUGGUUGUCCUCGUGCCAGAAAUGGUGAGAGGACAACCCCCCACGAUUCAGG